GACGCACCGUGCGAACGUUGUUCGGAUUCACUGGGCUUAAAGGGCGCGUAGGCGGGUCAUCAAGUCCGGGGUGAAAUCUUUCGGCUUAACCGGAAAAUAGCCUUGGAUACUGGUGGUCUGGAGGGAGGUAGGGGCAUGCGGAACUUCCGGUGGAGCGGUGAAAUGCGUAGAUAUCGGAAGGAACGCCGGUGGCGAAAGCGGCGUGCUGGACCUCUUCUGACGCUGAGGCGCGAAAGCCAGGGGAGCAAACGGG
rnacentral:rRNA from 1 species